AUUCAAAUAGUUUAAGGAAAAAAUAUAAGUUUGUGGCGCUUAAGAUGUAGGUUACUUUGAAUA
rnacentral:tRNA from 1 species